AGUGAACGCUGGCGGCGUGCCUAACACAUGCAAGUCGAACGGGCUAGUGCUUCGCACUAGUCUCUUUCUGGGGUUGUUACUCUAAGGCUACCUGCUAAAGUUAUUGCUUUAAAGCAGGGGUUUUAGGAGACUUUCCCCGAAAGGGGCCAGUGCGGAGCACUGGCCAGUGGCGAACGGGUGAGUAACACGUGGGUAAUCUACCCUCGAGUGGGGAAUAAGCUUCCGAAAGGGGGUCUAAUGCCGCAUAACGUUUCAUAACGAUGGUUAUGAAACCAAAGCCCAAAAGGCGCUCGAGGAGGAGCCUGCGUCCUAUCAGCUUGUUGGCAGGGUAAUGGCCUACCAAGGCUAUGACGGGUAGCCGGCCUGAGAGGGUGUCCGGCCACACUGGAACUGAGACACGGUCCAGACUCCUACGGGAGGCAGCAGUGGGAAUUUUGCGCAAUGGGGGAAACCCUGACGCAGCGACGCCGCGUGGAGGAUGACGGCCUCGGUGUAACGUCCUGUCAGAAGGACGAAACCGCAAC
rnacentral:rRNA from 1 species